GGCCGGGAUAACAUGUGACUUUUUUCCCCCUUCCAUCUCCUUACCUUCUGCUCUCUGCCUUCCUCCUUUGGAGCAUGCUGUAAUAGAAGUUUUACUAGGCUCAUCAUCCAUUUAUAGAACCACUGCUCCCCAUCUUUCACUUAGUUUGUGCAUCACUGACUUUACCCAAUGGCUUCCAGGCCCUGCAAAGCCAGGCAUGACCAAUGAGACACUCCAUUUUCCUGGUUGCAGUUGUUAAAAAUACAAUGGCAAGUUUUACAGGAGCCACUGUCAAAGAGGGACUCUCUAAGUGGGGAGGGGUGGCUGCUAAACUGGGAAGAGCCUGCCUGUGAAAAAAUUGCUAACGAUGAAGAGACCAGACCUGAGAGGUUAAGUGGCUUGCCCUGGGUCACCCAGCUAGUAAGUGGAGUGGUCAGAGUCGAAGCAAGCGGUGUGUUCCUCAUCACUAACCUGUUUUCAGCUGGAGCACUACUAGUUCUUCGUGGGCUCAACGUGCAUCCUUUAUAUUGUUGAAUUACCCUCCCAACAGCCCUAUUAGAUGUCAAUACAUGGGAUGCUUUGGGAAUGAACAAGAGAAGUGUCCUACUGGCAGGAAGAAAUAAAUGACUCAUAGUGAAGAAGGAGGAGGGGCAAAAACCCUUUUAAGCCACAAAGAUACCAUUUUGUGCACCGGAGGAGGUCACUGAAUAAAUCACAGGAGAGAAAUAGAUCUUGGGAGGUCACAUGGAUAAUAGUCCUGCCUUUGGGGAGGACACCCUGCUGCCAGAAAAAUGAUUCAAGAGAAUUCUUGCUGCAGCAAGGGGAUUGGGUUACUCAUGUUAAACAGUGCCCGAGAGCAUAUGCUUUAUGAAGUUGACCAGAUGUCCUGUUUGGUUAGGACUCUCCAGGUUUCUUAAUGGCUUUGAAGAGUGUCCUGGGAGUCACCCGGAGCAACCAGGCUUGGUUCUAGGUCCCCCAUUGACACUUUGUAAAGGGCUUUGGGUUACUUUGUGUGUUACCACUUUGCAAUUGUUCAGGUCACCAAAUAAAUCAGAGGAUUUGCUAGCCUGGCAAUAG